AGCAGUUCGGGGUAAUAACUACCUCCAUAUGUGGCCCGUGGUGGCAGCGCUUCUUUUGGGUUCUUUUCACUGUGGUUUGGCACAGCUAACCUUUAAAAAUAUUAACUCUGUAAAGGCUAGCAACUGCAGCAGAAUUGUUCUUAUUCCAUGCUAUGUCUCCAACAUAGAGGCACAAGACAUCAAUGAAUUAUUUUUGAAGUGGAAAUUUGGACAAGAUAUAAUUUUUGUCUUUGAUGGGCAUGCAAACAAAUCUACAACUUAUACGUUUCCAAGUGCACAAAUUUUCCCCUCCGAAUUUCUAAAAGGAAAUGCAUCUUUGACGUUGGCUAAGAAUGAAGCUAAAGCAGGAAACUACACAUGUGAAGUGACAGAAUUGAGCAGGGAGGGGAAACACACUGUGGAGCUAAAAUAUAGUGAUGGUUCAUGGUUUACUUUAAGUGAAAAUAUUCCCAUUAUUAUUUUCCCAUUUUUGACUGUACUUCUGUUCUGGGCACAGUUUGGUAUUUUAAUGCAAAAAUAUAAAUCCAACCCUGUGAAUAGGAAAAUUCUUAUUUUAUCUACUUCUGGACUAUUGUUCACCAUAAUUGUCACUGUUGGAGCCGCCCUUUAUAUCCCAGCUAUCGGGAGGACCCUCCAGGCUGUGAUCAUGUUCACCAUUGCUCAAGGACUGGGUGCUGUACUCACUCUGGCGGGACUAUAUCUCACUGCAUCUGACUGUGUACCAAAAUACGGCCUCCUUCUAAUUUCAGGUUUGGCCAUAAUAACUCUAGUGGAAUUAUUUGGACUAAUUUAUAUGAAAUGGCUUGACCCAAUGAUAGGUUUCCAUAAGACACAAAAGUGCAGGCAGCGCUGUCUUUGUUCCCGAGUUUCACACUUUGUCUCACUGGCUCUCAAGGAAUACUAAAUCCAACCAUCUCUAGUCCAGAGCAAGAUGCCAGACGUUCCAAGUGCCACUGGGUCACCUUGCUUUUCUCAUCGCUGAAGCCAGCUGAUUGCUCUCCAAGGAUACUGUUUUGCCCAAGGCAGUGUGGACUUUGACAUUCCUUCAAGUUUCAACUAGAAUAUUGACUAGAGGCUAGUUUGUAGACGUAUUACUUUGUAAAAAGUGUCAACUCCUUGAUUGUAAC
rnacentral:lncRNA from 1 species